UGCUGCAAGAAAAGAAACAAGGGAAGACUGCUAAACUUUGAAAUACCUUUCCUAGGCAAAAUCCCAUUUUCUCUAACACUGUCAGUCUCAUCUGUAGCACCGACAACAAUGUUUUCCCCAGAGUUACUAAUGUUCACAAUGCUAAACUGUGGAGAAUCUAUUGAACCAUAAGCAAUAACUGCUGUCGACCGUUUGUCAUCCUCUAGAUCAUGUAAUUUGGCAGCAAAAAUUGAAGUGCGACUCUUCUUGGCAUUUUCACCUUUCAACUGGUCUGUUUCAGUUUUGUUAGCUUUUACAGUGAUUUUUGUUGGA
rnacentral:misc_RNA from 1 species